AACGAACGCUGGCGGCAGGCUUAACACAUGCAAGUCGAGCGCCCCGCAAGGGGAGCGGCAGACGGGUGAGUAACGCGUGGGAAUCUACCCAUCACUACGGAAUAACGCAUGGAAACGUGUGCUAAUACCGUAUACGUCCUUCGGGAAAAAGAUUUAUCGGAGAUGGAUGAGCCCGCGUUGGAUUAGCUAGUUGGUGGGGUAAAGGCCUACUAAGGCGACGAUCCAUAGCUGGUCUGAGAGGAUGAUCAGCCACACUGGGACGGAGACACGGCCCAGACUCCUACGGGAGGCAGCAGUGGGGAAUAUUGGACAAUGGGCGCAAGCCUGAUCCAGCCAUGCCGCGUGAGUGAUGAAGGCCCUAGGGUUGUAAAGCUCUUUCACCGGUGAAGAUAAUGACGGUAACCGGAGAAGAAGCCCCGGCUAACUUCGUGCCAGCCGCCGCCGUAAUAC
rnacentral:rRNA from 1 species